GACGUCGAUAUUCGACGUCAUAAACACGAUCAACUUUGGUGUUUAUGACGUCGAUAUUCGACGUCAUAAACACGAUCAACUUUUGUGUUUAUGACGUCGAUAUUCGACGUCAUAAACACGAUCAACUUAGGUGUUUAUGACGUCGAUAUUCGACGUCAUAAACACGAUCAACUUUGGUGUUUAUGACGUCGAUAUUCGACGUCAUAAACACGUUCAACUUUGGUGUUCAUGACGUCGAUAUUCGACGUC